ACAACGGAGAGUUUGAUCCUGGCUCAGGAUGAACGCUAGCGGCAGGCCUAAUACAUGCAAGUCGAACGGUAAGGUCUCU
rnacentral:rRNA from 1 species